rnacentral:rRNA from 1 species
CUCAGGAUAGCUGGAACUUAUGAAGAAGUAGUUUUAUCAGGUAAAGCGAAUGAUUAGAGGCUUUGGGGAAGAAACUUCCUCGACCUAUUCUCAAACUUUAAAUAGGUAAGAUUUGGAGGAUACUUAAGUGAUCUUUCAAUACAUUUGAAUAUAAAGUUCUUAGUGGGCCAUUUUUGGUAAGCAGAACUGGCGAUGUGGGAUGAACCGAACGUUAAGUUAAAGUGCCAAAUAAUACGCUCAUGAGAUACCAUAAAAGGUGUUGGUUCAUUUUGACAGCAGGACGGUGGCCAUGGAAGUCGGAACCCGCUAAGGAGUGUGUAACAACUCACCUGCCGAAUGAACUAGCCCUGAAAAUGGAUGGCGCUUAAGCGUAUAACUUAUACUUAACCCUUAUCUGAAUCAUUAUAGCGGAUAAGGAGUAGGAGGGC